AAGUCGUAACAAGGUUUCCGUAGGUGAACCUGCGGAAGGAUCAUUAGACAUAUCUGGGAUGCCACUCUGGAUCCCCAAAUUCAAACCCCUCUGUGUACCAUUCCAUGUUGCUUUCACAGGUCAUGGGCUAUUGCUGCUAGCUACUGGAGUUUGCCGCCAGUUUCGGCCACCUGGUCUUGGUUGCCUGGUCUUAGCUGCCUGGUCCUGGCCGCCUGGUUUUGGUUGCCUGGUUUUGGUUGUCGGUACCCGCCGUUGUUGACAGUCUUCGCUGAUACCUGGCUGCAGCUAGCCAGCUCAUGCUCGCUGUUACAUUCUGCUGGUACCUCCCCGCCAUUACUGCCCACCACUACUGUCCGCCAUUACUGUCCGCUAUUACUGCAUGCCAUUCCAGUCUGCCAUUACUGCCUGUGAACAGCUACAACAUUGUUGGAGCCAUCCAGGUACCUGUGAGAGGGCCCAACCUCAACCAUCUCUGUGAAUUAGCUGUCUGACCUGGCCAUGUGCCAGAUUGAUUAAGCAAGUUAAAACUUUCAACAACGGAUCUCUUGGCUCUCGCAUCGAUGAAGAACGCAGCGGAAUGCGAUAAGUAAUGUGAAUUGCAGAAUUCAGUGAAUCAUCGAAUCUUUGAACGCACAUAGCGCCCUUUGGUAUUCCUUAGGGCAUGCCUGUUCGAGUGUCACUACAAACCCUCUCACAGAUAUUNNGUAUUGGUAGGAGUGGGUUACAGGUAUAAUGGUACCUGCACACUCUGCCGAAAUCCAUUGGAAGGANANAGNCNGAGCAGCAGACUUUGUAAAUGUCUAUGGGACAUAAAUCAGUCUUGUGCCAUGCCCAGUCCUGCCUAACUGGACCCCUAUCCAAGAUGAACAAUGGGUUGACCUCGGAUCAGGUAGGGAUACCCGCUGAACUUAAGCAUAUCAAUAAGCGGAGGAAAAGAAACCAACAGGGAUUGCCUCAGUAACGGCGGGUGAAGCGGCAAAAGCUCAAAUUUGAAAUCUGGCACUAUUGGUGCCCGAGUUGUAAUUUGGAGAGGCAACUUCAGGUAGGGUCCAGCCUAUGUUCCUUGGAACAGGACAUCAUAGAGGGUGAGAAUCCCGUUCUUGGCUGGAUGCCCUUGCCAGUAUGUAGUGCCUUCUACGAGUCGAGUUGUUUGGGAAUGCAGCUCAAAAUGGGUGGUAAAUUUCAUCUAAAGCUAAAUAUUGGCGAGAGACCGAUAGCGCACAAGUAGAGUGAUCGAAAGAUGAAAAGCACUUUGAAAAUAGAGUCAAAAAGUACGUGAAAUUGUUGAAAGGGAAGCGCUUGAGACCAGACUCAGUCUUUGGCAAACAACUGUCCUUCUGGGUGGUGCACUUGCCUUCGACUGGGCCAGCAUCAGUUGGGAUGGUGAGACAAAGGCCAGGGGAAUGUGACUCCACUUUCGGAGUGUUAUAGACCCUGGUGUCAUGCCACCUGUCCUGACUGUGGACCGCGCUUCGGCUAGGAUGCUGGCGUAAUGGUCUCCAGCGACC
rnacentral:rRNA from 1 species